GGUCGGCCCCAUGGCAAGCGGCCGACCCCCCUGCCACCAUGACCAUCUUCUUGCUUGCUGCUUUCAACAGCUAGGCCUUCGAUUCUUUUCUUUUUUUCUUUUUUCUUUGCCCUUUUCUUCUCUCUUUCCUUUUUCAUCUGCUUGCAAGCAUGUUGACUGAGCUUGCUACUUUGAUUUCUUCGGUCACUUCCAUCCCCUACAACUCCCUGUAAUUUUGGAUCCUGCAGCAAGCCCCCUACACCUUUUCUAAUCUUCUUUUCUUUCAUUCUUUUCUUUUCUUUGUCUUCUUCAAUUUCUUGAAAGCUGAAACCUACUCGUUCUGCUGUUCUAGCUUCUGUUGUGCCCAUUCCCUAUUCCUUCAUUUGCAGCAAACAAACCAUCACCGUCAAUCUUCUUCUUCUUCUUCUUCUUCAAUCUUCGACUGCAAGCUACAACUGAUAGAUCCCCUACAACAUCCAACCCUUCCUCCCUCUUCUGCUCUGCGUUUUUUCUGCCGCAGCCAACCUCUUAGCCAUCUUCAUCCAUCAUGACUGAGCCAUGUCCAGCUCCAUCUCCUCCUCCUCCUUUUGCACCUCUUCUGCAGCUUAAUCAUCGUUCUAACCAUCUCAACUCCACCAACCCAUCUUCAUCUGCCUCUUCGUCUGCGGUUGGUUUUGAUCUUCCUCUACUAGCUGGUUUCUCGGUCCAGAGCAAAAAAAAGAGAUCAUUAUCCAGCAUCCACUUCCUCUCGGCUCCUCUCAUCUGUCGCCAACUCUCAUCCACUCUCUUCUACUUUCAUCAACAUCACAGAAGAACAGAGGCCAGUUCCAUCUUAUUCCUUCUCUUUGUCUCGGCCAAGGGAAGCCAGUAAACCAUCACAGACCACCACCUCCAUCACAUCAUCCCUUUUCUCUCAUUCUUCCUCUACAGAAGGUGAUCCAUACACAGAGGACCCGCUCCAUCAUCAUCUCCACGAAUCCAUCAGCUGACGGUGGAUUUCCCUCUCGGGCUUUCGUUCAAGUCACUGGUGUGCUGCUCCUUCUCUCCAUUAUGGUGUUGUAUUGCCGCCCCUCUGUUGAAAGCAAGCCCAUCUCUAAUUCAAGCUAAGCCCCCAUUUCCUUUUCUAUUCUCAUUUCCUUCAUCCGCGUUUUCUUUAUAUAUGCUUGUCUUUGUCUUUUCCUACUGUGCUUCCCUUUUUCUUUCCAUUUGCAGGUCCAGUCCACGUUGACAAGUCACCAAGACAGUCUCAUGUGUUGUUCAGCAGCUCGACAACACUCAAUAGAUAACGCUAGGAGCUGGGUUAUGUCGUCAUAUUAUUGGACUACUUCCGAAUUGUUUCACUUGACUUCCAUGGCUUGAGUUCGUGUCUGAGGUUUCGGCUAAAUCGUGUGCUAAUUCCUUGACCUACUUGAGAGGUUAUGGCUCCGCUUCAAUGAUUUAAGGUUGUUCAUGGAAUGUGCUGAGAGGUACAAUGUUUCUUUGAAAUAUUUGAUUGUCUUGGAUUCGAAUUAAAUAGUUUGAAAGCAUGAUUAUCUAGUGGCUGAAAUGAAAUGAUGAUAGAUGGUGAUAUAUAAUUGGAUCUUGAAGAUGGUUGAUAUGGAUGAAGAGUCAAAGAGUGAGAAGAGUAUUCGGGCAAUUAAUUUUCGGGUUGUUCUGUGCGCUUGUUUAGCUGGUUGCCCCAUGAUUGAUUAUGUUUGAUCUUGAAUAUAAGUUUGGAUAGAUUAUAGGUGACUCUCUAAUGCCUUGCAUUUCUUGUUGCUCAUAACUCGAUCUAGGGGGUUUUCAUGUGCUGGUCAUAGACGAUUAAAGAAUUUGCUUCUUUGUUUUGAUUGCCUUUACACCAUAAAAUGGGCCAUUGUCGUGUUUGGAUACCUUGGGGUCAUUUUCCCUUACAUUUUAUACCGAUUCGGGCACUCUAGAGUCAAGUUACGGGACUUUUAUUUCAUGACCAGAUCCUAGGUACAUAGAGCUCAUUUUGCUAAGUUCUUCUAUCUUGAUCUUGUUCAUGACUCGUGUAUUUGCCUCUGCCCCGACCCUUUCGCUUUUCUUUCUUGCUUUUGCAUGUCAUCCCGAGCUUGGGAGGAGAAGACGAGCAAUGAGGAGUCAUGAGAAGGAAUAAGUGUGGAUUGACUCGAAGGCGAUGUGGAGACUUACCUAGGCUUAGGUUGAGUCCCGACUUGAAGGCCGCCUUGGUCCGUAGUAGUCGAGGAUCUUCCGAGCUAGCACAUCCUGAGAACCUCUUGGGAUUAAGUAUUAGUAUCUACCUUAAUAUCAUGAGAUAGGUCUUUCGAUGUUUGAUGAGUGAAUUCGAUGAGCUUGAUGUGAUUGUAUGCGCAUGAUUCAUGUCUUUUGAAGUGUCCAUUGUCGUUUUAAUUAAAA